rnacentral:rRNA from 1 species
AUUGAACGCUGGCGGCAUGCCUUACACAUGCAAGUCGAACGGCAGCGGGGGAGAAGCUUGCUUUUCCUGCCGGCGAGUGGCGAACGGGUGAGUAAUACACCGGAACGUGCCCUGUAGUGGGGGAUAACUAGUCGAAAGAUUAGCUAAUACCGCAUACGACCUGAGGGUGAAAGUGGGGGACCGCAAGGCCUCAUGCUAUAGGAGCGGCCGAUGUCUGAUUAGCUAGUUGGUGGGUAAAGGCCUACCAAGGCGACGAUCAGUAGCUGGUCUGAGAGGACGAUCAGCCACACUGGGACUGAGACACGGCCCAGACUCCUACGGGAGGCAGCAGUGGGGAAUUUUGGACAAUGGGCGAAAGCCUGAUCCAGCAAUGCCGCGUGUGUGAAGAAGGCCUUCGGGUUGUAAAGCACUUUUGUCCGGAAAGAAAUGGCUCUGGUUAAUACCUGGGGUCGAUGACGGUACCGGAAGAAUAAGGACCGGCUAACUACGUGCCAGCCGCCGCCGUAA